ACUAAUUCGCGGCGUCGAUUAUAAAAAUCGUAGCGAGAAUUUACGCCUCUCGCUGACGCGUUUUCCUCACGACCGCGUCUCUCCGCGAACAGUCGUAACAAAGAGUCUAGAGAUAAAAAAUUUGUCAAGUAAGGAUAUUUCUAUAUGUUUGGCGAUUACGAUGCAUAUCACUACUUUGUUAUUGCAUAUCACUUUUCAAAAACCAAACACGACGCAAUGUUCUAUCACAGAUACCUACAUUUUAGACACAGAUGGUGUAAUUUUUAGUCAAAAUAUUCUUGUAAUUAUUUUAAUGAAGUAACUGUGCCAUAAUGAUAAAAGUAAUGUUUAUCGAUUUUCUGACUUUGUCACUCGGUGACUAAAAGGAAUAUUUCGAUAAGAAAUAAUUGAAAAGUUGAUUGCUAAUACACAUGUUAUUGAAAUUUAAAAUUGUUUCUCUACGUACAAAAGACAUGACGAAUGUGACAUGUUCUCCAACUUUAGCCUUCAUAUUAAAAUAAUUUAUUGUAUAAUAAUAAUGAAAGAAAAAUAAGUAAGAAUAAAAUAUUGAUAAUGAAAGAAAUUAAUAUUAAUAAUUAUAUUAUCACGGAUAGUAGAAGAAAAGAGUUUUUUUAAAACUUCUAUUACUUUGAACCUUAAUAAACUAUUAAAUUCAGAAUUACUAACUAUAUUAUUAUAUUAUUAUUUAUAUAUAUCCCUAGAAUAUAAAGCAAACUCUCGAAACUAACUGAAGAUACAGACUCUGCAACUGAACUAAUUAGCUCGAUAUUUGGUCCCUUUGGGAUAUGAUAACUAACGAUCAAGUAUUGCAAUAAACGCGCUAAUUAACAACCGCCAAUGAUAAAGUAAUAGCAAAUAUAAGUAUACGAAACGCAUUUAAUAACCGAGAAUAUUCGUAAAUAUCUCUGUAAUUUCCCACGCAAUCAAAAACGGAAUUGAGAAACUAAUCGAAAAAAGCUCGUUUGGAACCUUGGGAUCUUGAACUCUGACGUACACAACUCGCGAAUAAUAGCGUUAAUAAUACAUUAACGAUUACAAUGAACGGCCCAUUGACAUAAAUCUUAAUCCUCAAAAAUCAUGGAUUCUUUAACCUAUUUUAAACCAGGUAUUCAAAUUGCUUGUUUAAGUUAAAUUGAACAUUUCCUUGCUCGCGACAGAGUAAAUGUUUUAUUUGAAAAAAACUUUCAAUAAUAAAAAUAAUAAAAUUCAUUCAAUAUCACUCACCCAUCUCAUAUGCCCAUCAUGCUCGAGCAAUUAGAUAUGUAAUUAUUUGCAACAUAUAAAUUAGAACAUAAUAAGA
rnacentral:misc_RNA from 1 species